rnacentral:sRNA from 1 species
GGUGAGGAAGAGUGUAGGAAAACUAAUUUCAUGUAAAAAUGGGCUAUAAUUUCCUUGUUCCUUCUCCAUUCCCACUGCUCUACUUGACUAGCCUUAG